UGUCCCAGUUCGGACUGGAGUCUGCAACCCGACUCCACGAAGUUGGAUUCGCUAGUAAUCGCGCAUCAGCCAUGGCGCGGUGAAUACGUUCCCGGGCCUUGUACACACCGCCCGUCACACCAUGAGAGUUGGGAAUACCCGAAGCCUGUGAGCCAACAAACGAGGCAGCAGUCGAAGGUAGAAUCAAUGAUUGGGGUGAAGUCGUAACAAGGUACC
rnacentral:rRNA from 1 species